rnacentral:lncRNA from 1 species
GCAACACACUGGUUUGGCAUCUAGCAGGUUGUGCUUGCAGAACAGCAGGCUGGCUCCCUGCACCUGCUCAGUGGGGCUGGGCCUUAGCAACCUGCCUUGAGGCUGCUCUUCCUUAACCUUUCUCUAACUGGCUUCAUGAAAGUUAAUUCUGCUGGGACCCCACGAGGCAGCGGAGAGCCCACUCUGCCCAUGAUUGGUGCCCUGGGCUGGCACGCAGAGUUUAAUGGAGGAGCCCGGGAGAGAGGGAUGCCUGAGAACCAGGGAUGUGGGCUGGAGCAGUGCCACCUCCUGUAACUCACCCGCGAGCCCAGCCAACCUGCUAAACCUUCCCCACAGAGCCUCAGUCUCCUUAUCUGUAAAAUGGAUUACCUGGCACUUGUCCAGUCUUUCUGCAGUCAACAUCGCCCAGAUUCCAUGCAGAACCCUUUGCAGACUCCUGAGGAGGUGGGAUCAGGACAGCAUAGUGUGUCCUCUGUCUUGAGAAGUUCGCAUCCAGCUCUGCCAUGGACCAGCCAUGCUCAUGGAUUGCCUCUCGUUUUGCUACGGACAGGAGACAGGAAAAUACUGGGUAGAAGAGGGCGGUUCCCGACAAAGGCCCCAACCUCAAGCCUGAAGACCCACGACCCUAAAUGAGGACAGCCAUUUCUGUUUUUGUGCCCAAAAAGUUGCCUUUUGGCCUGCCACGCCCAACAUCUUGCCCCCAUAUAAACCCGAGACCUUAGCGGGCACACACACAAUCAGCCAAAUGUUGGGAUUAGCAGACCAGUGGACCAGCGGACCAGCAGACCAGUUAACGGUGGAACA